rnacentral:tRNA from 1 species
CCGUGGUUAGCCCAGUUAACAGAGCGCUUUACUGGAUAUGGAGAGGUCCCGGGUUCGAUACCCGGACCAGGCG